GAUGAACGCUCGCUACAGGCUUAACACAUGCAAGUCGAGGGGAAACGACAUCGAAAGCUUGCUUUUGAUGGGCGUCGACCGGCGCACGGGUGAGUAACGCGUAUCCAACCUGCCCAUCACUUGGGAAUAACCUUGCGAAAGUAAGACUAAUACCCAAUGAUAUCCCACGAAGGCAUCGGAAUGGGAUUAAAGAUUUAUCGGUGAUGGAUGGGGAUGCGUCUGAUUAGCUUGUUGGCGGGGUAACGGCCCACCAAGGCAACGAUCAGUAGGGGUUCUGAGAGGAAGGUCCCCCACAUUGGAACUGAGACACGGUCCAAACUCCUACGGGAGGCAGCAGUGAGGAAUAUUGGUCAACGGGCGAGAGCCUGAACCAGCCAAGUAGCGUGCAGGAAGACGGCCCUAUGGGUUGUAAACUGCUUUUAUAAGGGAAUAAAGUGGGUCACGUGUGACUUUUUGCAUGUACCUUAUGAAUAAGGACCGGCUAAUUCCGUG
rnacentral:rRNA from 1 species